AGUGAACGCUGGCGGUAGGCCUAACACAUGCGAGUCGAACGGCAGCACAGUAAGAGCUUGCUCUUACGGGUGGCGAGUGGCGGACGGGUGAGGAAUACAUCGGAAUCUACUUUUUCGUGGGGGAUAACGUAGGGAAACUUACGCUAAUACCGCAUACGACCUACGGGUGAAAGCAGGGGAUCUUCGGACCUUGCGCGAUUGAAUGAGCCGAUGUCGGAUUAGCUAGUUGGCGGGGUAAAGGCCCACCAAGGCGACGAUCCGUAGCUGGUCUGAGAGGAUGUUCAGCCACACUGGAACUGAGACACGGUCCAGACUCCUACGGGAGGCAGCAGUGGGGAAUAUUGGACAAUGGGCGCAAGCCUGAACCAGCCAUACCGCGUGGGUGAAGAAGGCCUUCGGGUUGUAAAGCCCUUUUGUUGGGAAAGAAAAGCAGCAGGUUAAUACCCCGCUGUUCUGACGGUACCCAAAGAAUAAGCACCGGCUAACUUCGUG
rnacentral:rRNA from 1 species